AUUGAACGCUGGCGGCAUGCCUUACACAUGCAAGUCGAACGGCAGCACGGGAGCAAUCCUGGUGGCGAGUGGCGAACGGGUGAGUAAAGUAUCGGAACGUGCCCAGUCGUGGGGGAUAACGUAGCGAAAGCUACGCUAAUACCGCAUACGAUCUAUGGAUGAAAGCGGGGGACCGCAAGGCCUCGCGCGAUUGGAGCGGCCGAUAUCAGAUUAGGUAGUUGGUGGGGUAAAGGCCCACCAAGCAGACGAUCUGUAGCUGGUCUGAGAGGACGACCAGCCACACUGGGACUGAGACACGGCACAGACGCCUACGGGAGGCAGCAGUGGGGAAUUUUGGACAAUGGGCGCAAGCCUGAUCCAGCAAUGCCGCGUGCAGGAUGAAGGCCUUGGGGUUGUAAACUGCUUUUGUACGGAGCGAAAAGGCGCUCCCUAAUACUGGGGGCUCAUGACGGUACCGUAAGAAUAAGCACCGGCUAACUACGUGCCAGCCGCCGCCGUAA
rnacentral:rRNA from 1 species